rnacentral:rRNA from 1 species
UCAGACGAUGCGUCAUGCAUAUCAAUAAGCGGAGGAAAAGAAACUAACAAGGAUUCCCUCAGUAACGGCGAGUGAAGCGGGAAGAGCUCAAAUUUGAAAUCUUGAAAGGUCACCUUUCACGAAUUGUAGUUUAAAGAAGUGUUUUCUGUUACGAUCGUAAUAUAAGUUCUUUGGAAUAGGACAUCACAGAGGGUGAGAAUCCCGUCUAUGAUUGCGAUUUGUAGCUUUGUGAUACACUUUCAAAGAGUCGGGUUGUUUGGGAAUGCAGCCCAAAACGGGAGGUAAAUUUCUUCUAAGGCUAAAUAUUGGCGAGAGACCGAUAGCGAACAAGUACCGUGAGGGAAAGAUGAAAAGAACUUUGAAAAGAGAGUUAAAUAGUACGUGAAAUAGUCAAAAGGGAAGCGUUUAACACCAGUGUUGUUUUCUGAAAAUCAACCUCUGUUAGCUUUAUGCAUGUUUGUUUAGACCUAAUCAGCUAUCUUGCAUGUUCUAUUGUUUGCAGUGGUGCACUUUUCAGUUUACAGGUCAACAUCAGUUUUUUUUACCGUAAAAAAGUUAAAGAAAGGUAGCUCAUGGCUCCUGGUCGUGAGCGUUAUAGUCUUUUUCCUAUGCGGUAGGAGAGACUGAGGUCUGCAGUGUAGGCUAUUUGGCUAGAUACUCAGGUGCUAUGUGAUACCAUUUCAUAAACAACUUGUUGAUUAUGUUUUGUCUAUUGCAUACUCGCUUGUACUAUCAUACCUACGCUUAGGAUGUUGAAGACUCUACAGAGAUA